UACGGAGGGUGCAAGCGUUAUCCGGAUUCACUGGGUUUAAAGGGUGCGUAGGCGGCUUAAUAAGUCAUUGGUGAAAGCUCGCAGCUCAACUGCGAAACUGCCAUUGAAACUGUUUAGCUUGAAUGUGGUUGAAGUGGGCGGAAUACAACAUGUAGCGGUGAAAUGCUUAGAUAUGUUUUAGAACACCGAUUGCGAAGGCACCUCACUAAGCCAAUAUUGACGCUGAGGCACGAAAGCGUGGGUAGCAAACAGG
rnacentral:rRNA from 1 species